ensembl:lncRNA
CGAACUGCUGCACCCCGGGUCCUGGACCCACAGAGAGGCUGUGACCUCCUAGCACGCCUCACCAGCCCCCUUGCCUGAUCCUUCACCAAAUCUCCUCUUUCUUGGCCUUGGAGCUUCAUGAAGAAGGAGGUCUGAGAGCCCCCCCAUACGCAUCAUCCCAGAAAAGUCUAGGCCCCUUCUAUUCAUUGGUAUUUUUUUUCCCUUUCAUUCAACAAGAAAUUAGUGCAUGUCAGCAUGUGCCAGGCACGAGCAAGGCCGGGAGGCAGGAAGAGGGGCGGCCCCAGGCUACAGGGACCAGCCAGCCCCAUCCCUACCCCCUCUCCUUCUCGCCUGACUCAGCCGACAGCAGGAUGGGAAUAAAGGGCGCCCCACCAGCGUCCUCCAAUUUCCCGCUAUUCAGCUCAGACCUGAGUAGCAGCAGGCAGCCGAAAGGAUUUGCAGCUCUCUCCCAAAACAGCCCUCUUGGCCACCUCCCGCUUCCCACAUGGGCAAAGUCAGGACCACACCUGAGAAGGAGCCAAUUGGAGAAGACCCACCUUGGACCCUUCCUGGAGGAGAGGCAGUUCCCUGGCUGCCAGCACAAAGGCCAGGGCUGGGCCAACGUGCCUGCAAGCCUCACCCCCCAGAGACUUCCGCUGGGCUGUGGCCAACCUGGGCGGAGAUGUCAGCCUCCUCAGGAAGCCUCCUGCUCCGAGGGAGAGAGACAGACAAGCUGACAGUCAGUGGGGCAGGACACAAGGCCACGCCCCUUCCACCGGAGGCAGCAGGUGGGGAGACCCAGGAGAGAAGAGCGGCCGGAGAGGCUGAGGUCAGCAGCCACUUGGCUCUGGAAGCAGCUGCAGAUGUGUGGCCACACCAGCACCAGGGGACCCUAUUCUGCAUCUAUGCUGGGCUGGAAGACUGCAAAACCACUUGGCAGAAGACAUAAAUGAGAAAUCCUGUACCAAGUAAGGAUGAAAAGAAGAAUUGGAAACAAGUAUGCAAUCGGCCACCAACUAUCGAAUGGAAGCAAUAAAAAAGAACUCAACCAGGGCCGGGGAUUUAGCCCAAUGGUUCUGCCGCCUGCCUUGCAAGUGCAAGGAUCCAAGUUCGAUCCCUGGUACCAAAAAAAAAUUGUUUGUGCAAAAAGAACUCAACCCUACCCAUGCUCAUGCCUACACACUCUCGCACACCUUCCCUCUCUCUCCCUCAGAGGGACUCAGUUCCAAGGUGUGAAUACACCAAGUCUGCCCUCCUCAGGGCUGCCGUGCAUGUCAGAUGAGAAGAUGCAGGGAUGGUGCCUGCAGACGUGAACACACUCCACGCAUGUGGAUGAAGUAUCACUUGACCCCAAUUCUUCUCUCAGGGAGAAGGAAGCUCCUGCUGGGUCCUGAAGCUUCUUAGUUUUCUAGUUAGUUUCCUUUUGUUCCUCUCCAAAGCUCUGCUUACCCAGGAGAAUAAUGUCAACACUUAUGAUGCCAUUUUAAUCAUCCCAGGGGCAUUGAUCAUUAUUAUGAAUCCCAAAAUAGCUGAGCUAUUCAUGUUUGACAGUGCGAUCAUGCAGGGCUAUACAUCAUGGAACCUUCAAUGGAGGAUAUGCCUUGGUUUUCCAUGCACCUUCUCAUCUGUCGUCUCACAGAGAGGAGGUAUUCUCCCGAUUAUAGGGGUCCAAAACCAGGGGCCAAGGUGGGUCUGAUCACUCACCAGCUGGAGGACUGUGCUGGAAGGAUGGGCGCAGGUCCCUUCUCUGUUUCAGCAUGAGAUUUGCACACUGAGGGAAGUGUACGGCACCCCCCCACACACACACACACACACACACUGUGGGCUCCAUCUUUUCUCCCUAGCAUUGAGGUUUAAGGUUCCCACCUCCUUCCCAGCCCUGUUUCCUGGUCCCACCACCUCCUCCCCUGGGUCUUGCUCAACAAUGACCUUUUGGCAUCUCUGCCUCUCCCUCUGCACAGCUUCCACCUUGCCUCCCUGACAGGUGUGUUCAUGCCCCGACCACAUACCACCUGCUCCAGACGGACGCCCUCUCUGUUGCCCUCCCUGGCUCAGAUGCUCCUGAAAGCAGAGUCCGGGAUCCAGGCCUAGGGACAGGCACAAACUUAAGUAUCUACAUGGGUUGAAUUGUGUCCUCCCCAAGGCUAUGCUCAAGGUCUAACCUCUCAUUCCUGUGGAUGGAUCUUACUUAGGAAGAGGACCAAGUCCAGAGGAGCUCCCAUAGUGCUUCAGUGGGCUCUAACCCACUGAUGGACUUCCUUAAAAGAAGGAAGAUUUGGACCCAGAAACACUUCGGGAGACCACAAAGGCCUCAUAUUGGAGUAAUGUAUCUAUAAGCCCAAGCAUAAAAAGGAUUGCCAGCAUCACCUGGAAGCCAGUAGAGAGGUCUGGCCCUGACUCUCCCAAGAGCCUUCGGAGGGAACCACCCCUGCCAACACCUUGACUUUGGACUUUACCCUCCAGAACUGGGAGAGAAUUCGAAUGUCAUUUUAAGCGACUCUUGUCUGUUGGGAUUUGUUGCUGCAGCCACAAAGCCCAAACACAGUGUCCACCUCCUUAGGGCUUCUACACUCUCCUAAAAGAAGUGAGGCUGUGGUCACCUGCAUCCAGUUCUUUUGCAUGCAUUGUUACAAGGACAGCUGUGGCCCUGUGGAGCCAGCCCAAAUCCCAGCCCUCUGAGGGCAGGCGCCUUGUGUCCGAAACAGGAGCACCUCAACAACCAAGCACUGAUGUCAGCACCCAGGUUCCAGCACUCAGCAUCAUAAUCAGAAGAGACCAACACCUUGCUGGGCACGCUGACCGGACUCCACCAAUGCUAUUUCCCAGCCUGCAGACCACUCUGCCUGUCUCAGAUCACAGCCACUAAUGGGGAAUCCAGGGGACUCCAAGAAGAACAAAGGCCAACCAAGACGCCAGCGUGAGCCACCAAGUCCAGCCACGGUGACUUCCCCGGGGGACUUCUGCCACCGCACCCCCUGCCCACAGGGGCUUUCCUGGCCAAAGAGAUCCCUGGCUGAGAACCUCAAGGUUGAAGAUAAAUUCAUUUGCCUUCAGGUGCUUGAGCUGAUCCAUUAAUUACAGCUGACUUGGACCGGCUCUCUGUAAACAGGAUUACAGGCAGAAGCAUUCUGUCCUCUGGUCUUCUAAUGUGCCACCACAUGUGACAAUGGCUUGCCAAUUCCAGUCCCUGUGGGGAGGGCUUGUCCCCAUGACAAUGUGCAGGUGAGCAGGCUUUCCCCUCUCUCCUCCUCCUCAGGGACAGAGGCUGCAGGCCAGAGGAGUCUCUGGUAGGAAGGGAUCAGGUGGAGCCCCUCCAGGUACCUUUUCGGCACAUGAGGCAGAGCAACGUUCAGAGGUCCGGGAUGGUGGCUGACUCGGCUCCAGGGGGCCUGAGGGGAGAGGUGAAGGCGAUUCCACCCAGCCUGGAAACUCCCCGACUCUCAGCCUUCCCACUGGGAGAGGCAUCAGUGUCUGUCCCCUCCGACCAUUCCGGAGUACACGGGGCCUAGAUGCGGGGUUGGGUGAGCACCGCUGGCAGCACUGAAUUUCAGGGGAGGCUCCACUUCCUUCCCAGAGAAACGAAAGCUCAGGGCUGUCUGGGUGUCCCUGCAGCCUUUGCCCACAGCUUAAGUUCUGACACCUCACCUCUGAGGGCGGCCAGGCAGGGCCACAGGGGGCCUUCCAGGUCCUUCCACCCGUUCUCUGGGGCUGCACACACCCAGCAGGGCGGCCCCUCCCCACCCCACCGUCACCCACCUGCAG